rnacentral:rRNA from 1 species
GCAUAUCAAUAAGCGGAGGAAAAGAAACUAACAAGGAUUCCCCUAGUAACUGCGAGUGAAGCGGGAAGAGCUCAAAUUUGAAAUCUGGCGGUCCUUGGCCGUCCGAGUUGUAAUCUAGAGAAGUGCUACCCGCGCUGGACCGUGCACAAGUCUCCUGGAACGGAGCGUCACAGAGGGUGAGAAUCCCGUCUUUGGCACGGACUCCCAGGGCUUUUGUGGUGCGCUCUCGAAGAGUCGAGUUGUUUGGGAAUGCAGCUCAAAAUGGGUGGUAAACUCCAUCUAAAGCUAAAUAUUGGCGAGAGACCGAUAGCGAACAAGUACCGUGAGGGAAAGAUGAAAAGCACUUUGGAAAGAGAGUUAAACAGUACGUGAAAUUGUUGAAAGGGAAACGCUUGAAGUCAGUCGCGUCGGCCGGGGAUCAACCUUGCAACUGCGGGGCGCACUUCCCGGUCGACGGGUCAGCAUCAGUUUCGACCGCCGGAAAAAGGCCUGAGGAAUGUGGCACCUCUGGGUGUGUUAUAGCCUCUGGUCGUAUGCGGCGGUUGGGACUGAGGAACUCAGCGCGCCGAAAGGCCGGGUCUCUGACCACGUACCGCGCUUAGGAUGCUGGCAGAAUGGCUUUAAUCGACCCGUCUUGAAACACGGACCAAGGAGUCUAACAUGCCUGCGAGUGUUUGGGUGGAAAACCCAUGCGCGCAAUGAAAGUGAAAGUUGAGACCCUCCUCGAGGGGGGCAUCGACGCCCGGACCUGAGCUUCUGCGACGGAUCCGCGGUAGAGCAUGUAUGUUGGGACCCGAAAGAUGGUGAACUAUGCCUGAAUAGGGUGAAGCCAGAGGAAACUCUGGUGGAGGCUCGUAGCGAUUCUGACGUGCAAAUCGAUCGUCGAAUUUGGGUAUAGGGGGCGAAAGACUAAUCGAACCAUCUAGUAGCUGGGUUCCUGCCGAG